UACGUAGGGGGCAAGCGUUACCCGGAUUUACUGGGCGUAAAGCGCGUGUAGGCGGCUGGCCAAGUGUGGUGUGAAAUCCCCCGGCUCAACCGGGGAACUGCAUUGCAAACUGGUCUGGCUAGAGUGCAGGAGAGGGAAGUGGAAUUCCCGGUGUAGCGGUGAAAUGCGUAGAUAUCGGGAGGAGCACCAGUGGCGAAGGCGGCUUCCUGGCCUGCAACUGACGCUGAGACGCGAAAGCGUGGGGAGCGAACCGG
rnacentral:rRNA from 1 species